GCAGUCGAGCGGACAGAUGGGAGCUUGCUCCCUGAUGUUAGCGGCGGACGGGUGAGUAACACGUGGGUAACCUGCCUGUAAGACUGGGAUAACUCCGGGAAACCGGGGCUAAUACCGGAUGGUUGUCUGAACCGCAUGGUUCAGACAUAAAAGGUGGCUUCGGCUACCACUUACAGAUGGACCCGCGGCGCAUUAGCUAGUUGGUGAGGUAACGGCUCACCAAGGCGACGAUGCGUAGCCGACCUGAGAGGGUGAUCGGCCACACUGGGACUGAGACACGGCCCAGACUCCUACGGGAGGCAGCAGUAGGGAAUCUUCCGCAAUGGACGAAAGUCUGACGGAGCAACGCCGCGUGAGUGAUGAAGGUUUUCGGAUCGUAAAGCUCUGUUGUUAGGGAAGAACAAGUGCCGUUCAAAUAGGGCGGCACCUUGACGGUACCUAACCAGAAAGCCACGGCUAACUACGUGCCAGCAGCCGCGGUAAUACGUAGGUGGCAAGCGUUGUCCGGAAUUAUUGGGCGUAAAGGGCUCGCAGGCGGUUUCUUAAGUCUGAUGUGAAAGCCCCCGGCUCAACCGGGGAGGGUCAUUGGAAACUGGGGAACUUGAGUGCAGAAGAGGAGAGUGGAAUUCCACGUGUAGCGGUGAAAUGCGUAGAGAUGUGGAGGAACACCAGUGGCGAAGGCGACUCUCUGGUCUGUAAC
rnacentral:rRNA from 1 species